GGGUAGGUUACUGAGUGGUAAAAGUGGUAGACUGUAAAUCUAUUGGGCAACCUUCGUUGGUUCGAAUCCAACCCUACUCA
rnacentral:tRNA from 1 species